rnacentral:lncRNA from 1 species
AAGGAAACAGUGGCCAGGGGCCUAGGGGAAGUCUCCUAUUUGAAAAGGCGUGUGAGGGAUGGACUCCUUGUGAGGAGGGAAGUACUGGGAGGAGGAGGCUCUGCAAAGGCAAACAGGCAGGGGCCAAAGAGGCCUCUGAUCCCUGACUCAGUCAGUCCAUAAGCAGUGAUUCUGCUGUCCUCUGCUGGUGGGACCGGGGAGCAGCUCUGGGGGUGUCAUCAGAGGGGUCAGACAGGGCUGGCUUUAUGAUGCAUGAGAAAGGUAGAUGGUGUGGACCAUGAACAUGUGGUGGGGCAGGGCUGUGGGGGAGGCAGAGAAGUCAAUCCUAGGGGCUCCAAAGGCUCUCAGGAGGUGGCCCAGAGCUGUCUGCUCUCUUUGGUCAGGCAGGAGAUACUUGGGCUUGGGACCUGAUGUCCUUUGAGUUCCCCCUGGAUCUUGAUGCCUCCACUUCCACUCAACAACUCCACUCCAGGACUUCCUGGUGACUUGUGCAGAGGGAAAAUCAUGGCCUUGCAGAGCAGGCAGAGCCCACUGGAGUCCUGGUGGAGGCCUCUCAGUAGCCAGAUGACCUUGAGCGAAUUUUAGAACCCUCUAAGCUUGGGAUCUCUCAUCUGUUAAGAUGAUGACAAGCAACCAUGCCAAAUAAAACUUGUAGCUUGGUUCUGAGAAUUGAAUGAGUUAAUUCACGUGAAGCCACCUAAGUCUACGAAGACACUCGAUAAAUUCUGUUCUUCAUGGGGUAGCAGUGGGGGGACUUUGUGGCAAGAAGAAAAAUUGUGGGAAUGAUAAUCAUUGAAUACUUAAAACAUAUGAGUUACUAUGCUCAAUUCUUUAUUUGUACUAUAUUAUCUCAAUUAAGCCUUCUGACACUCCUAUGAGGCAGGUAGUAUGUAUCUCCCCAUUUUUCAGAUAAAGAAACUGAGGCUUCAAGAUGUUAGGUUACUUGCCUAAGGCCAAAAUGAUCGAGAAUCUGACCCAGAGCCCAAGAGCUAAACAUCUAAGAGGCUCUGCAACAAUUCCCACUUUCCCGCCGUGCCUGGAGGAUCCUUCCUGGAAAUAUGCUUUCAUUCUGUCUUUAGGUUUUUGUUUAGAUAAGCAAGGCCCUCCUGAAGGGGCCUUCUUGUCCCUCACACUAAUAGUUAUUCCUUCUCCUAAGUGUUCAGAACACUGUGGCUAUGUUUAUCCCUUACACUUUCCACGUAUUAUUUGCAUUUACACAUCUGUCUCUGGUUCCAGGCAGAUGCUCUCUGAGGGCAUGGACAGAAUGUGGUGUAAUUUCUCUUUAUUUCCUCUCUAAGUAACUGUCACUCCUAUUGCUUUGCAUGCUGUGGGCUUUUGAUAAAUGUUUGUUGACUUGAGAUGUGUCAGGCAGAGUGAGUAGAAAGCAUGACAGACCUGGGUCAGAAUCCGUACUUCCACUGACUCUGUGACCUUGGGCAAGUCACUCAACCUCUCUGGGCCUCCUUCAGUUUCCUCAACUCUAAAGUGAGACAAUAGUAUCUACCAUCAUGGGGUGUUGUGAGGAUGAAAAGAAAAAAUGCAGGCAAAGCAUUUACACAGUAC